rnacentral:sRNA from 1 species
AUAUAAUUUUCUUGAACUCAAGUUUAUUAUUCUCUCAAUGGCUUAAGAAAAACAGGGCAAUUUGGAGUGAUGAAUGAUUAGCUUCAUUCCAUGCUCCAAAUUUAGACAGUUUGUUUAUGCUUUAGCCAUCUGCAUGCUCUGCAGAUCAGCAUGGAGCUUUGCCAUGCACUCAAGAAGAAGAAGAUGAUGAAGCUUCAGAGCUCAGACAGUUCUUCUGCCAGAGUAUAAAGGAUUUGGCUAAUGUGUAGCAAACCGGCAAGUCACAUAACGGCAAUGGACUCUUUUCUUCGAGUUCU